AUGAAGGCUCCAGAAGAGCCCGGCUUUGAAUUAACAAAGCCAUCAACCGGCCAGGAUUACAAACUCGAAACCAACACAAGAAAGCGAAAAAAAAAGACAAGAUACAGAGGCGCUGGACAACAGCACACAAGCCUCACACACACCCAGCUAAAGGAUCGAACAAGGAGACACGCAGCUGGGGUAUGUGUAGGUCCUCAAUCGCAUACAAAUCACCAGGGAGAAGGAGAAUGUCAGCACAGGAGCAGCAUUACAGACGGCGAGGAAGGGCACGCCGUCGCCAAAUCACCAGCGGCCCCGGAUUGCCAUGUCCUCCCAGCUCCACUGUCAAAGAAGACCCCUGUCUCCUCACCUGGCUCGAAGGCGCCGAACCGUUGA
rnacentral:rRNA from 1 species